AUGUGUUCCUGCAUAAACAAGACCAUUUCUGGCAAUGGCAGAGGAAGGGCUUUUGAUACAAUAAAUGAUAGAGAAAGAACAAGAGGGUGGGGUGGUGGCAGUGUGAGUGGCUCGGGAACGGAUAAAAUUGAUGCUCUUGGUAGCCUCCUUUCUGGCAAUGGCAGAGGAAGGGCUUUUGAUACAAUAAAUGAUAGAGAAAGAACAAGAGGGUGGGGUGGUGGCAGUGUGAGUGGCUCGGGAACGGAUAAAAUUGAUGCUCUUGGUAGCCUCCUUUCUGGCAAUGGCAGAGGAAGGGCUUUUGAUACAAUAAAUGAUAGAGAAAGAACAAGAGGGUGA